UGAAAGUGUAAACGUUUUUUAUUGAAAAAUUUGUAACUCUUGUUAAUACUUAUAAAAAUUUUACUAACUUGAUUUCGAUCGGAAGAAAUCUGGUAACUCGUAAUUAAUACUUAUAAAUUUCGAUUGAAACAACUAUUUGACAGACAAACUAUUUGAUAGACAAACUGCCAGAGGGACGGCGUAAACACUUCUAUUGAAAAAUGUUAACUCGAUGGUAACUAGAUAGUAACUUUUGUUAAUACUUAUAAAUUUUGAUAGAGACAAACUGGCAAAGUAACGGUGACACUUCGAUUGACUAGAUGCACAAAGACAGGAAGAGGAAGAGAAAGAAGAAAUCUUGGAGAUAUGUAAAUGGUUCGAGACGACGCGGUCGACGUGGGGGUGUGAAGUGUCGUGAACUAGAACGUAGGAAGAUGUUAAAGCAGCAAUUCUCCACCCAAGUUGAUACAGUGUCCCCUUCAUUGCCGUUGUGUCCUGAUGAUUCUUUGUUUUUUGACUUGACACAAUUAAAUUAUAGAUUGAUUUUGAAUUUAUUUAAUUUUUAAAAUAAAAAUAUUUAAUUAUAAUUUAAAAAAAAUGAAAUUUAUUUAAAAUAUUAAAAUUUUAAAUAAUUAAUAUAUUUUUAUAUACAAAUUUAGAAAACUUGUUAAUAGAAUAAAAAUUUAUUUAUAUUUAACUUAUUAUAUAAAUGUUGAUAAAUUUUUUAAAAUA
rnacentral:misc_RNA from 1 species